UACGAAGGGGGCGAGCGUUGUUCGGAUUUACUGGGCGUAAAGGGCGCGCAGGCGGCGCAUUUUGUCAGGCGUGAAAGCCCCGGGCUUAACCUGGGAACUGCGUUUGAUACGGAUGGGCUAGAGUUCGGGAGAGGAGAGUGGAAUUCCCAGUGUAGAGGUGAAAUUCGUAGAUAUUGGGAAGAACACCGGUGGCGAAGGCGGCUCUCUGGACCGAGACUGACGCUGAGGCGCGAAAGCUAGGGGAGCGAACAGG
rnacentral:rRNA from 1 species